rnacentral:antisense_RNA from 1 species
ACAGAUUUGGUGACUCGUCUCCUCCAAGACAGUUACCAAGGUUCAGAAACUUGCCGGUUUCCUGAACCUUCGAAAAAACCACCUUGCCGGGUGGUUUUUUCGUUUU